GCUAGAUCCGCGAGGCUGAUUGGUUUGAGUUUCCUAACCAAACACCCGGUCACCUCCGGGUUAACUCCACACUAUCUAAUUGGCCUCCUCCGCGCUAACUCUCCAUGGCCGCCCUGCUCCGCUAGACCGCUAGCUCUUCAGGUCAACUCGCCGGGUCGCUGCCUCGGCGCAGCCGACGGCGUUCUGCCGCGCUCGCCGUGUGGCGCUCUGCCUAUCGCGCUCGGCAAACCAUCACCGGAUGGUUGUACUGCGGGAGGAGAUCAAGCUGACACUGGAAGUUUCAGAGGUCUUGCAGCCGAAAGCUAGGGCAUGAAGCAGCCGUGCUCAUUCAUUUCCUUUCUGUUCAGUGUUUAUCUAAGCUUGAUGGUUCUUGGUUCCUAAUAAUGUUUCGAGGACCGUAUUGGGUUUCCUUCGGUUCAUAUUUUGUUAGGGCUACGAGCUAAUCAUAUUUCUCUCUUCAUUUCUGCUUAAUCCUACAAGUCUUUGCUUUCAAUAUAAGUUGGCAAUUUUCUUCCA